rnacentral:rRNA from 1 species
AUUGAACGCUGGCGGCAGGCCUAACACAUGCAAGUCGAGCGAGCCGCGGGCGGGUGAGUAAUGCCUGCGAAUUGCCCAGUCGCGGGAGAUAACAGUUGGAAACGACUUCUAAUACCGCAUCCGAUUGUAUUGCCCAUGUGGGAUUAGAUAGUUGGUGGGGUAAUGGCUCACCAAGGCGACGAUCCCUAGCUGGUCUGAGAGGAGGAUCAGCCACACUGGAACUGAGACACGGUCCAGACUCCUACGGGAGGCAGCAGUGGGGAAUAUUGCACAAUGGGGGAAAACCUGAUGCAGCCAUGCCGCGUGUGUGAAGAAGGCCUUCGGGUUGUAAAGCACUGUCAGCGAGGAGGCGGUACUCGCAGAAGAAGCACCGGCUAACUCCGUGCCAGCCGCCGCGGUAAUAC